rnacentral:lncRNA from 1 species
UAGGAUUUCCAUAAACGAAUGCAAUACUUUCUUCAAACCCUGUCCCAACCAGGCGUCUUGUUCAUGAUCGGUCCCAUCUUCAAGCCAUGGUUUUGAGCAAUAUUUAGGAAUUGCAAUCAAAUUUCUUGGUAAUCCAGAACCAAGUUACAAAAUUAGAAGAAAUUUUGACAUCAUCACAGAAAAGACGAUAUUGAUCAGUAAUAAGCAGCAAGAUUCACUUUGAUAAAAAAAAAAAAAAAAACAGCAAGAUUCACACCCAACACCAUACUAAUGUAAUCAGCUAGCAUCAUUCUCCUCUCAUCCAAACAAAUUCGUUCAAUUAAUAAACCACAAGCGAAACACACACACACAUGCCCAGAUAGAGAAUCGCAUCAAAAGAUAUGAACCUUUAUAAAAU